rnacentral:rRNA from 1 species
UGAGAGUUUGAUCCUGGCUCAGGACGAACGCUGGCGGCGUGCUUAACACAUGCAAGUCGAACGGAAAGGCCCUGCUUGCAGGGUGCUCGAGUGGCGAACGGGUGAGUAACACGUGGGUGAUCUGCCCCUGACUUUGGGAUAAGCCUGGGAAACUGGGUCUAAUACCGGAUAUGACCAAGGAUUGCAUGGUUCUUGGUGGAAAGCUUUUGCGGUUGGGGAUGGGCCCGCGGCCUAUCAGCUUGUUGGUGGGGUAAUGGCCUACCAAGGCGACGACGGGUAGCCGACCUGAGAGGGUGAUCGGCCACACUGGGACUGAGACACGGCCCAGACUCCUACGGGAGGCAGCAGUGGGGAAUAUUGCACAAUGGGCGCAAGCCUGAUGCAGCGACGCCGCGUAAGGGAUGACGGCCUUCGGGUUGUAAACCUCUUUCAGCAGGGACGAAGCGCGAGUGACGGUACCUGCAGAAGAAGCACCGGCCAACUACGUGCCAGCAGCCGCGGUAAUACGUAGGGUGCGAGCGUUGUCCGGAAUUACUGGGCGUAAAGAGCUCGUAGGCGGUUUGUCGCGUCGUCUGUGAAAUUCUGCAGCUUAACUGCAGGCGUGCAGGCGAUACGGGCAGACUUGAGUACUACAGGGGAGACUGGAAUUCCUGGUGUAGCGGUGAAAUGCGCAGAUAUCAGAGGAACACCGGUGGCGAAGGCGGGUCUCUGGGUAGUAACUGACGCUGAGGAGCGAAAGCGUGGGUAG